AGAGAAGAGCAGGAAGGGUGGGCUAGGAAGGAAGAAGAAAGUGUUGCUGUGAGUUUGUGAAGCACAUUCAGUGAGGGGACCCUGCAGCCAAGUUCCAGACUUAUAACACUUGUUCAGCUUGGAAACAACUUUGCAGAGAAAUAAUGUUUGGAAGGGACAAGCUUCUUCUCUAUAGGAUCUUUGAUGGAUCAAUUGACAGCAUAUUCUUUGCCAUAAUCUCCAAGGACCCUAAGAAACCUGUCUGGUUGCAUGACAAUAUUCAUGUGACUUGAUUAACCAAGAUCAAUUGGAUUCAAGAAGUCUGCUCAAGAACAUAGAACACAUAACAACUUUCAGCAUAAAUGGUCAAGGUCA